CUUCAUGAGCUUAGGAUGGGAAUCUGGUUAAAACAAGAGGCAAGAGGAGCCUGGAGUGAAAAUAUUCUGGCAGCCAGAUUUAGACACCGUGAUGCAAAGGUUCCAUGAUGCCCUGUGGAAGCCAUAGUUAGAGAUGUGUCCUUGCAGAGAAGCAUUCUCAGUGGGAGAGUUGCAGAGAUCCAGCCUUACCCCUAGAACCUUCCAUGUG